rnacentral:rRNA from 1 species
GAGUUUGAUUAUGGCUCAGAUUGAACGCUGGCGGCAGGCUUAACACAUGCAAGUCGAACGGAAGUUACUAGCUUGCUAGUAACUUUAGUGGCGAACGGGUGAGUAACAUUUAGGAAUCUGCCUCAUAACGGGGGAUAGCUCGGGGAAACUCGAAUUAAUACCGCAUACACCCUACGGGGGAAAGGUGGCGCAAGCUGCCGAUAUGAGAUGAGCCUAAAUCAGAUUAGCUAGAUGGUGGGGUAAAGGCCUACCAUGGCGACGAUCUGUAACUGGUCUGAGAGGAUGAUCAGUCACACCGGAACUGAGACACGGUCCGGACUCCUACGGGAGGCAGCAGUGGGGAAUAUUGGACAAUGGGCGAAAGCCUGAUCCAGCCAUGCCGCGUGUGUGAAGAAGGCCAUAAGGUUGUAAAGCACUUUAAGCAGGGAGGAAGAACUUUUAGUUAAUAGCUAAAAGUGGUGACGU